rnacentral:rRNA from 1 species
UACGGAGGUGGCAAGCGUUGCUCGGAAUCACUGGGCGUAAAGGGCGCGUAGGCGGGGAGGUAAGUCGGGUGUGAAAUCCCUCGGCCCAACCGAGGAACUGCGCCCGAGACUGCUUCUCUUGAGUCCCGGAGAGGAAGAUGGAAUUCCCGGUGUAGCGGUGAAAUGCGUAGAGAUCGGGAGGAACAUCAGUGGCGAAGGCGGCCCUCUGGACCAGUACUGACGCUGAGGCACGAAAGCGUGGGGAGCAAACAGG